CCUAGGAGGACCUGCAGAGGAGUUUCUGCCUCUCUGCUCAGGCCAGUUCUCCAGCGCCCUCUGUGGCGGCUGAGAGCAGGCCCUCUAAGGAAGAGAGCUCCGGGCAUAGAGAGCUCAGGCCUGCAGCAGAGGGAGUGCAGAUGUGGGGGAAGCUGACCCUGGAGUUAACAGGCUCAGACCUUAAAGGGGGUAGUCUCACAGCAGGUUCACACCCAGCACUUCAGAGUUUCAGCAAGUAAGGCAACUGCAAGACCCUCAUUCUGCCGGGAAGCUUCUGAUUAGGGCCCUAAACCACCAUCCUUUUCACAUCUGCAAGGACACUAGAGGCAACACCCAGGGUCACUCUGAGAGGGCCUGAACCUGCUUUAUUAACAGGAUCGAGGGUCAGAUACAACAAAGAGAGGACAAUACUGGCACUAGACUGAAAAGAUUCAUGGAACACAGUGGAAAGUCCAGAAAGAGAGCCACGUGACCGAAGUAAGUCGUGAUGCAGGAAAUGAGUGCGUUUCACAGCUUGCUGAGCCCCUACUCGACCCAGGAAGCCCAGCUGGCCCCUCCUCUCAACAGGAGUGAGAAUCAGCUCAAAUUUUGCAGUUUCUGCUGUCAUCACAGCUGGGAAUGAGAAAGGGAAGGGGCUCCAGUUGGUCUCCCUCUGCCUCUGGAGCACACGUGGAGGACAUGAGGCUUCCGCAGGAACAGCUCUGAAAGCUGAGUUCUCGGGUCCCUGUGAAGGAGGGAAGCUUGCCUGCCUUGGAGCGUGAAAAAGUCUUGCUGGACAGAAGUCUCACGGUUUAAAACUGGGAAGGGAGAGGAUUGAGAUCACACUAGAAUGCACAGAAAAUUCUUAAAACAAAAAAAUGAGAGAAACUUCAUCAGAAUGUGAAAAGAACUAUAAAGCUACAGUGCUGAAGAGAGGGCAAUACUGGCACUAGAAUGAGAAGAUUCAUGGAACACAGUGGAAAAUGCAGUAAGAGAGCUGCAUGUAUGUAAUAUUUUAUCAUGUGAUAAAGUGAUAUAUUAAUAUUCACAAGGAAAUAGUCAAUUAUUUAAUAAGUUCUCUUUUUGGUAUUGACUUACUGUAUGGAAACAAAUAUUGUUGCAUUUCUACCUUACUAGUUACAAAUAGUGAUUUAGUUGUAAUAAAAUGAAAAUCAUUAGACUUAAACGAUGAUGAAUUGCAUAGAAGUUCUAGGUGAGAUUGGCCUUUCUAAGCCUGGCAUCAAACUAGACACCCUAGAAAAAUGGACAGAUAUUAUUUUAUUUUUCAAAGUUCAAUUCACCAUAGGUGCCAAAUGUAAAUAAUAACACAUGAGGAGUAAUAUCUUCAACACAUUGGAUAAAGGGUCAGUAUCUCUAAAAUAGUAUAUAUUAAUUCUUACGAACCAAUAAGAAAAAAUUAAUCCUCCAAAAGGAGAAUAGGCAAAGAGUAUCACAAGGCGAUUCUCAAAAGAAGAACUAUAAAUGACCUAUAACGUUGUCAAAUAUUGCUAGUACUCCUAAAGAUGGGGGAAUGCAAAUCAAAUUAACAAAUCUCAUUUUCAGAACCACAGAGCUUGGAUUGCCAUCAUUAUUAAAUUAAAGUAUAUGACUUAGGGAAUGUUAAUUAACCCCCCAAUUUCUUAUGUUACAUUCAACGGUACUUUAAACCCUUAAUGAAGUUUCUGUGUAGAUUAAAUAAAAUGUGCAUGCAAUGUGCUUAGUACAUUAACUACCAGAAUGUCAGCACCCAUAUGUACCAUCAAUAUUAUUAUUAUCAUUAUUCAUUUUUUUGAGACAGAGUCUCACUCUAUUGCCCAAACUGGACUGUAGUAGUGUGAUAUUAGCUCACUGAAACCUUCACCUUCCUGGCUCUAGAAAUUCUCCUGCCUCAGCAUCCAAAGUAGCUGGGAUUACAUGUGUGCGCCACAACAGCCGGCUAAUUUUUUGUAUAUUUAGUAGAGACAGGGUUUCACCAUGUUGGCUGAGCGGGUCCAAAUCUCCCGGCCUAAGUGAUCCUAAUGACUGGACUGGCCAAAUGCUGGGAUUACAUGCAUGAGCCACCGGGCGUGGCCAGUAUUAUUGUUAUUAAUACAGUAAUUAUUGUAUAAAAAUUCCUGAUGGAUCAAUGAUGCCAUCAUUAAAUAAUCAACACAUAAAAACAUUCAAAUAAAUGAUAUGGACGUCUUUAUGCAUACUUAUGAAGUAUGUGCACCUUUAGAAGUAAGACACACAAUCCAGACACAGGAAAAUAUAAGAUUUAUUAAAAUGUAUAAAAACCAAAUAUCAGAAUGAAAAUAUAAAUAUGGCAUUGAAAUAGAAACAAUAC
rnacentral:lncRNA from 10 species